UUGGUGACCAGCGGAGGGAUCAUUACCGAGUUUACAACUCCCAAACCCAAUGUGAACGUUACCAAACUGUUGCCUCGGCGGGGUCACGCCCCGGGUGCGUCGCAGCCCCGGAACCAGGCGCCCGCCGGAGGAACCAACCAAACUCUUUCUGUAGUCCCCUCGCGGACGUAUUUCUUACAGCUCUGAGCAAAAAUUCAAAAUGAAUCAAAACUUUCAACAACGGAUCUCUUGGUUCUGGCAUCGAUGAAGAACGCAGCGAAAUGCGAUAAGUAAUGUGAAUUGCAGAAUUCAGUGAAUCAUCGAAUCUUUGAACGCACAUUGCGCCCGCCAGUAUUCUGGCGGGCAUGCCUGUCCGAGCGUCAUUUCAACCCUCGAACCCCUCCGGGGGAUCGGCGUUGGGGAUCGGGACCCCUCACACGGGUGCCGGCCCCGAAAUACAGUGGCGGUCUCGCCGCAGCCUCUCCUGCGCAGUAGUUUGCACAACUCGCACCGGGAGCGCGGCGCGUCCACGUCCGUAAAACACCCAACUUUCUGAAAUGUUGACCUCGGAUCAGGUAGGAAUACCCGCUGAACUUAAGCAUAUCAAUAAGCGGAG
rnacentral:rRNA from 1 species